GAUGAACGCUGGCGGCGUGCCUAAUACAUGCAAGUCGAGCGAACGGACGAGAAGCUUGCUUCUCUGAUGUUAGCGGCGGACGGGUGAGUAACACGUGGAUAACCUACCUAUAAGACUGGGAUAACUUCGGGAAACCGGAGCUAAUACCGGAUAAUAUUUUGAACCGCAUGGUUCAAAAGUGAAAGACGGUCUUGCUGUCACUUAUAGAUGGAUCCGCGCUGCAUUAGCUAGUUGGUAAGGUAACGGCUUACCAAGGCAACGAUGCAUAGCCGACCUGAGAGGGUGAUCGGCCACACUGGAACUGAGACACGGUCCAGACUCCUACGGGAGGCAGCAGUAGGGAAUCUUCCGCAAUGGGCGAAAGCCUGACGGAGCAACGCCGCGUGAGUGAUGAAGGUCUUCGGAUCGUAAAACUCUGUUAUUAGGGAAGAACAUAUGUGUAAGUAACUGUGCACAUCUUGACGGUACCUAAUCAGAAAGCCACGGCUAACUACGUGCCAGCAGCCGCGGUAAUACGUAGGUGGCAAGCGUUAUCCGGAAUUAUUGGGCGUAAAGCGCGCGUAGGCGGUUUUUUAAGUCUGAUGUGAAAGCCCACGGCUCAACCGUGGAGGGUCAUUGGAAACUGGAAAACUUGAGUGCAGAAGAGGAAAGUGGAAUUCCAUGUGUAGCGGUGAAAUGCGCGGAGAUAUGGAGGAACACCAGUGGCGAAGGCGACUUUCUGGUCUGUAACUGACGCUGAUGUGCGAAAGCGUGGGGAUCAAACAGGAUUAGAUACCCUGGUAGUCCACGCCGUAAACGAUGAGUGCUAAGUGUUAGGGGGUUUCCGCCCCUUAGUGCUGCAGCUAACGCAUUAAGCACUCCGCCUGGGGAGUACGACCGCAAGAUUGAAACUCAAAGGAAUUGACGGGGACCCGCACAAGCGGUGGAGCAUGUGGUUUAAUUCGAAGCAACGCGAAGAACCUUACCAAAUCUUGACAUCCUUUGACAACUCUAGAGAUAGAGCCUUCCCCUUCGGGGGACAAAGUGACAGGUGGUGCAUGGUUGUCGUCAGCUCGUGUCGUGAGAUGUUGGGUUAAGUCCCGCAACGAGCGCAACCCUUAAGCUUAGUUGCCAUCAUUAAGUUGGGCACUCUAAGUUGACUGCCGGUGACAAACCGGAGGAAGGUGGGGAUGACGUCAAAUCAUCAUGCCCCUUAUGAUUUGGGCUACACACGUGCUACAAUGGACAAUACAAAGGGCAGCGAAACCGCGAGGUCAAGCAAAUCCCAUAAAGUUGUUCUCAGUUCGGAUUGUAGUCUGCAACUCGACUACAUGAAGCUGGAAUCGCUAGUAAUCGUAGAUCAGCAUGCUACGGUGAAUACGUUCCCGGGUCU
rnacentral:rRNA from 1 species